UUAAGAAUAUUGCGCAAUGGGCGAAAGCCUGACCCAGCAACGCCGCGUGAAGGAUGAAGUAUUUCGGUAUGUAAACUUCGAAAGAAUAGGAAGAAUAAAUGACGGUACUAUUUAUAAGGUCCGGCUAACUACGUGCCAGCAGCCGCGGUAAUACGUAGGGACCAAGCGUUGUUCGGAUUUACUGGGCGUAAAGGGCGCGUAGGCGGCAAUUCAAGUCAUCUGUGAAAUCUCCGGGCUUAACUCGGAACGGUCAGAUGAUACUGCUUUGCUAGAGUGCAGAAGGGGCAAUCGGAAUUCUUGGUGUAGCGGUGAAAUGCGUAGAUAUCAAGAGGAACACCUGAGGUGAAGACGGGUUGCUGGGCUGACACUGACGCUGAGGCGCGAAAGCCAGGGGAGCAAACGGGAUUAGAUACCCCAGUAGUCCCUGAGCGGGCUGGCAAGGCGCAU
rnacentral:rRNA from 1 species